AGGGGAGGGCCAGAUGAACGGAGACGAAGGCAGAAGUGCGGAGAGUACGGUCGGCGAGCUCGAUGUCCUCCUGGCGGAGAAUGCCAGCCUGAAGAACCAGUUGGCGGAAGCCGCGGCGAGCUCAGCGGCGGCCCUGGCUAGGGAGGAGGAAAUGGGUACGAAGCUCAGAGACGCGCUGGAAGAGUCGGCCGCGAACAGGGCGAGGGCGGAAAGGCUGGGGAAGCAGCUGGAUACCGUGGAGGGAACAGUGGCGUCGCUCGAGGCGGAGAUUAAGACGCUGCGGGUCCAGACGGAGCAGUGGCGUAAGGCCGCCGAAGCGGCGGCGGCGGUGCUCUCGGCCGCCGCCGCUCCGAACGGGCGGCGGGUGACGGAGCGGUGCAGG
rnacentral:lncRNA from 1 species